AUUGAACGCUGGCGGCAGGCCUAACACAUGCAAGUCGAACGAGUGGCGGACGGGUGAGUAAUGUCUGGGAAACUGCCCGAUGGAGGGGGAUAACUACUGGAAACGGUAGCUAAUACCGCAUACCAUCGGAUGUGCCCAGAUGGGAUUAGCUAGUAGGUGGGGUAACGGCUCACCUAGGCGACGGUCCCUAGCUGGUCUGAGAGGAGGACCAGCCCAACUGGAACUGAGACACGGUCCAGACUCCUAAGGGAGGCAGCAGGUGGGAAAAUUGCACAAUGGGCGGAAGCCUUAUGCAGCCAAGGCGGGUGUAUGAAGAAGGCUUUUGGGUUGGAAAGUACCUUUAGCGGGGAGGAGUUUCCCGCAGAAGAAGCACCGGCUUACUCCGUGGCAGCAGCCGCGGUAAUAC
rnacentral:rRNA from 1 species